UCUGUAGGCGGAGGGGCAAGUUUGGCGUGAAAGCUCCGGGCUCAACUCGGAGAGUGCGCUGAAUACUGCCCGACUAGAGUGCAUCAGAGGGGCGUGGAAUUUCCGGUGUAGCGGUAAAAUGCGCAGAUAUCGGAAGGAACACCAAUGGCGAAGGCAGCGCCCUGGGAUGAGACUGACGCUAAGAGACGACAGCUAGGGUAGCGAACA
rnacentral:rRNA from 1 species